AUGGAUUUCUUGGUUAGUAAUGGGCACAUUACCCAUGCAAUUGGUAGUGCAUAUUCAACUGUUGUGAAUGGUAACGAAGAAACCGGCGGGAAAGAAGAGUGUGGAGCAAUGAAGCAUAACAACACUUGUUGUGUGGUGAUGGCAGAUGUAUUGAAGAAGAUGGAAGAGCUGAUAUUUCUCUGUAGGAUUUUUUCAUUGCACUAG
rnacentral:rRNA from 1 species